CGCUUGAACGUAGACAUGCGAUAAGACAUCUCAGUGAUAAAAGUUUAAACGCUGCGUUCACUUUGGUAUCCCGUCGAGUGCAGUAGCGCAGUGUGAAAGACGAAGAAAAAGACGAAAAAUAAAAAGAAGAAAAAAAAGUUCUUCCUUACAUGGAUUUUUAAUGGGGAAAUGGUGGUCGCGUGCCAAAGUUAAUACUUGCUUGAGUAUCAAGAAGUGUUAGUAUAUUUGAACGAUACACCUGUCCACCAUCUUGGUCAGCCGAUCUUAAAGUACAAGGAACAAGGCCCAACGAUGAGGGCUCAACUAAAGAUUGCCGUCAGCUGACAAGAUGAGAACAAGCCGAGAAACAGGAAAAGACCUUCUUCUUUGAGAUAUUACUUUUAAGAGAAGUGAGAAGAAACGUUUUGAGGAAUUUUUCAUUCAACUUCACGGGAAUUAAAGGGAAGAGAGAAAGAGAAAGAGACACCACCGAACUUAAGGUGUUUCGUAAUUUUACGAAAAUUAUGGAUACACCUAACCUUCCUUUUUACUUUGAAAAGUAAAUGUAUUCGUCAUUUUGAAGAUUUGUAGAGACAUCUAACCUUACUUGUUAGUUCGAAAGUUAAACUACAGUCGUGAAACGCAGGAAGAUUUCUCUGGAACAAAUAAAAGUUAGAAAGGCCAUGGAAUUUCUAUGGGAGAUUAUUAUGACAUCAAACUUUACUUUUUACUUUGAAAAUUAAACAUUUACAAGUUUACGUUAGGUUUGGUUUGGUUUGUUCGCGAAUUUGAGAAUCUUUGGUUAUGCAAUAAAUUGAGGUUAUUACUUUAGAUUAAGUUAGAUUACGAAUUGAAGAAUUUUGUGUGAGAUUACAAUUCUUUUUUUUUUAUGAACAAACAUAUUACAAAACCGAUCAAUCAUUGAAGAAAAUUCUACGUAGUAAUCAUUGAUUAAAAUUUAAGAAUUGUUAAAAUAUGUAAUACUGAUUAAAUACAACAAUGUAAAAUAAAAAAAAAUAAAA